rnacentral:rRNA from 1 species
GGCGGCGGGACGGGUGGAAGUAACACGGUGGGACCAACUCGCCGUGGAGCGGGGAUAACAUUUGGAAACAGAUGCUAAUACCGCAUAAUAAUCAAAACCACAUGGUUUGAUUUCAAAGAUGGCUUCGGCUAUCACUCCAGGAUGGGCCCGCGGUGCAUUAGCUAGUUGGUAAGGUAACGGCUUACCAAGGCGAUGAUGCAUAGCCGAGUUGAGAGACUGAUCGGCCACAAUGGAACUGAGACACGGCCCAAACUCC